GGCUAACGCUGGCGGCGUGUCUUAGCCAUGCAAGUCAGGGCGAAACUCCCUUCGGGGAGGAGUAGACCGGCAAACGGCGGAGUAACACGUGGCUAACCUACCUUCAGGAAGGGGAUAACCUCGGGAAACUGAGGCUAAUACCCUAUAAUGUCCUGGUGAGGCAUCUCACCGGGAGGAAAGAGGGCCUCUAUUUAUAUGCUCUCGCCUGAUGAGGGAGCCGCGCCCUAUCAGCUUGUUGGUGGGAUAAAGGCCCACCAAGGCAACGACGGGUAGCCGGCGUGAGAGCGUGGCCGGCCCGAGGGGCACUGUGACACGGGCCCCACUCCUACGGGAGGCAGCAGGCUAGAAAUUUGGGCAAUGGGGGAAACCCUGACCCAGCGACGCCGCGUGCGGGAUUGAAGCCCUUCGGGGUGUAAACCGCUGUCAGGGAGGACGAUGGGUCGAGUGGUUAAUAACCGCUUGACUUGACGGUACUUCCAGAGGAAGCCCAGGCUAACCUCGUGCCAGCAGCCGCGGUAAUACGGGGUGGGCAAGCGUUGCCCGGAUUCACUGGGCUUAAAGGGGAUGUAGGCGGUUCGGUGUGUCAGGCGUGUAAUCCACGGGCUCAACCCGUGGACUGCGUCUGAAACUACCGAGCUAGAGGAUGGGAGAGGAGAGAGGAACUCCCGGUGUAGCGGUGAAAUGCGUAGAUAUCGGGGGGAAUGCCAGUGGCGAAGGCGGCUCUCUGGCCUAUUCCUGACGCUGAGGUCCGAAAGCCAGGGUAGCGAAGGGGAUUAGAUACCCCCGUAGUCCUGGCCGUAAACGAUGGGUGCUAGGUGUGGGUUUCGAUUUUAUCGAAAUCUGUGCCGCAGGGAAACCGUUAAGCACCCCGCCUGGGGAGUACGCUCGCAAGGGUGAAACUCAAAGGAAUUGACGG
rnacentral:rRNA from 1 species